rnacentral:lncRNA from 1 species
UCUACAACUUGCAUGUAUCUGUAGUUUAAUUUGCCCGUUGGAUUGGAAUUUUUCAACCUUUGCUGUAGUAAGUGUCUCUGUAGUUUAUAGGUAUGCAGAUUUAUGUACUUGUUUUUAUGAUUGCGGAUGAAGACCCUGACUACAACGACUCGGACUACAAUGUAUAUGAUGAUGAUGAUUGCAUAUUUGAUUGUAAUGUGACCGAAGGCAUCGAAAUGGGUAUGUAUAUUGUGGAACGGGUAGAAGGCCAAGAAUUUGAUAGUUCUUCGUAUGCAUCAUCGGAGGAGCUAAACUUCUUAAGUGGUUUGGAUUCGGAGGGAUUAAGUGGUAAACUCAAUUAUCCUGAAUAUUAUGUUGGUAGUGAGAAGAGGAAUCCUCAAUUUGAGGUAGGGUUAUUGUUUGCGACGUUUGAGGAAUUAAAAUCUGCAGUGAGGGAUUAUGCGGUAUUCAAUCAAGUUGAACCGAUUUUCAAACGCAAUGAGAAAAAUAGAUUGCAUUGUGUUUGCAAGGAAGGUUGUCCAUGGAAGUUGUGGGCUUCGAAGAUACAAAGUCGAGAAACGGUCCAGAUUAAAACUUAUGAUCCUAGGCACACUUGCUUUAAGGCACGUACAAAUAAGUACGUAACCUAUAAGUGGUUGGCCAAUUACUAUUUGGAUAAUUUCAAAUUCGAUCCUAAUUGGAAGACAAAAAAUAUUAGAGCUACAGUUAGAAAGGAUUUAGGAGUGCACAUUACUAAGGAAGUAGCUUCAAAUGCUAGAAAGUACGCCAAAGUAUUAGUAGAGGGGAGUGAUGAGGAACAAUUUGCGAUGUUAAGAUGCUAUGCUGAGGAAUUAAGGAGAACAAAUCCAGGUUCAACUGUGCUUAUCUCUCAAGUGGAUAAUGUGUUAAGGGGUAUUUAUGGGGUAUUUAUGUUUGCAUAGAGGCAUGUAAGAAGGGUUUUCUGCAGGGGUGUAGACACUUUGUCGGUGUUGAUGGAUAUUUUUUGAAAAGGAAAAUAUGGUGGUCAACUGCUAGCAGCAGUUGGCGUAGAUGCAAAUGAUUGUAUAUACCCGAUUGCAUAUGCAAUUGUGGAAAGGGAGAACACUAGUUCGUGGAGGUGGUUUUUGACGUUGUUGUCUGAAGAUCUUGCUAUAGAAAAUUGACCAUCUGUGACCUUCAUGAGCGAUAGACAAAGGGGAUUAAUUAAUGUUGUUGCUGAAUUAUUUCCAGAAGCCGAAUAUAGAUUUUGUGUCCGACACAUGUAUCAGAAUUUCUUUAGGAGUGACUUUAAGGGUAAGGAAUUGAAAGACUAUUUGUGGGGUGCAGCGAAAUCUAGUCACUUUGCAUCUUUUAAAUAUUGGAUGGCUAAGAUUGAGAGUGCCAAGAAUGAAGCACAUGGAUGGUCGAUGACAAAGUCACCAAACGAAUGGAGUAGAUCUCAUUUUUCAGAUCAGUCGAAGUGUGAGAUGCUCCUUAAUAAUCUUUAUGAAUGUUUCAACAACUUCAUUUUGGAAGAAAGGGAAAAAUCAUUGAUAGAUAUGUUGGUAGGCAUUCAGAUGAAACUCGUGCAUAGAAUUCAGGUAAAGCGAGACAAGUUAAGAUAUUACAACAAACCCAUAUGUGCCAAAAUAUAAAAGAAGUUGGAGAAGUGCUGUGAUGCAGCCCGUGAAUGUAUCUUGAGAUGGAACGGGCUAAACCAAUAUCAAGUUGAGAGUUCAUAUGGAGAAUUUAUUGUGGACAUGGACAGUCGAACGUGUGCCCGUAGGAGAUGUCAGAUUUCUGGCAUUCCAUGUCGACAUGCCAUUGCUUGCAUUUUGGAUAUGGGUCACGAGAUGAGAGAUUACGUCUCCGACUGGUAUAAGGUUGAGACCUACAAGAGCACGUACGAGAAUGUCAUAUAUCCUAUUAAUGGUAAGGCAUUAUGGCCUGAAUGUGCACAUUCCCCUGUUUUGCCUCCCCCUUAGUAUAUUCCUUCAGCAGGAAAAAAAACAAAAAAAGAGAAGAAAAUGACUUGAUGAAGAUGGACAAUCCCAGUCACAGACACAUUCACAAUCACAAUCACAAGUAAGAAAAAAGGGUGUUGUAUACAUGACGUGUUCUAUUUGUGGGGAAAAGGGACAUAACAAAAGGCACCAUAAGUUCGUAGAACCACAAGUUCAUGAAAGCGGAGAGUGGUUAGAUGCAGAUUAGAAGCUGCCAAAGCACCAGCAGGGAUGAAAAUGUGGAUAUCUUUUGGUUUGUAUUUUGUUUGGAAGCAGCCAAGCUAUCUGACAAAUGUCGAAGUUUGUUUUGUAGUAUUUUGGUUGUCCGAUUAUUUAGAAGAUAUGAUAUGAUUUUGUUUGGAGCAAUGUAAUUACACUUGAAUUUAAU